rnacentral:tRNA from 1 species
AUGAAAACAGGGGAUUAAGUCGAGCUUCCCAAGCUGAAUACGAGGGUUCGAUUCCCUUCACCCGCUCCA